AUUAAAAUAUAUAUUUUUUAAAUUAAAAAAAAAAGUUAUAUCCCCCCUCCCUUCUUACCUUUAGCCUGGGAGGGGGGGAUCUUUGAUCUCCCCACCGGCCCAUGAAGGCAUACAGCAGGGCCGGCGCUCGGGUAGCGCUGGCCCUGCAGGGGCUGGCAGGGGAGAUUCUGUGAUCUCCCCUGCCGGCCUCGGCCCA